rnacentral:rRNA from 1 species
AUUGAACGCUGGCGGCAUGCUUUACACAUGCAAGUCGAACGGUAACAGGGUGCUUGCACCGCUGACGAGUGGCGAACGGGUGAGUAAUACAUCGGAAUGUACCCAGUAAUGGAGGAUAACGCUUCGAAAGGAGUGCUAAUACCGCAUACGCCCUGAGGGGGAAAGUGGGGGACCGCAAGGCCUCACGUUAUUGGAGCAGCCGAUGGCUGAUUAGCUAGUUGGUGAGGUAAAGGCUCACCAAGGCGACGAUCAGUAGCGGGUCUUAGAGGCCGAUCCGCCACACUGGAACUGAGACACGGUCCAGGCUCCUACGGGAGGCAGCAGUGGGGAAUCUUGGACAAUGGGCGAAAGCCUGAUCCAGCAAUGCCGCGUGCGUGAAGAAGGCCUUCGGGUUGUAAAGCGCUUUUGUCUGGGAGCAAAUCCUGGCCUCUAAUACAGGUCGGGGAUGAGAGUACCAGAAGAAUAAGGACCGGCUAACUACGUGCCAGCCGCCGCAGUAA